rfam:Felis catus isolate Cinnamon breed Abyssinian chromosome F1, whole genome shotgun sequence.
CUUAAGGAUUUUCUAGAAUCCACUCCAAGGAAAUAAAGAAGCUAUC